rnacentral:rRNA from 1 species
AGCGAACGCUGGCGGCAGGCCUAAUACAUGCAAGUCGAGCGCACCUUCAGGUGAGCGGCGGACGGGGGAGUAACGCGUGGGAACGUUCCCUUUGGUACGGGAUCACUGAGGGAAACUUCAGCUAAUACCGUAUGUGCCCUACGGGGGAAAGAUUUAUCGCCAUUGGAGCGGCCCGCGUUGGAUUAGGUAGUUGGUGAGGUAAAGGCUCACCAAGCCUACGAUCCAUAGCUGGUCUGAGAGGAUGAUCAGCCACACUGGGACGGAGACACGGCCCAGACUCCUACGGGAGGCAGCAGUAGGGAAUCUUGCGCAAUGGGCGAAAGCCUGACGCAGCCAUGCCGCGUGUAUGAUGAAGGUCUUAGGAUUGUAAAAUACUUUCACCGGGGAAGAUAAUGACGGUACCCGGAGAAGAAGCCCCGGCUAACUUCGUGCCAGCCGCCGCAGUAA